CUGGCGGCGUGCCUAAUACAUGCAAGUCGAACGGUCUUUCUAUGGAAGCUUGCUUCCACUGAGAAGAUAGUGGCGAACGGGUGAGUAACACGUGGGUAACCCUGCCCAUAAGAGGGGGGAGUAACAUCCGGAAACGGGUGCUAAUACCGCAUAGUUUUCUUGAUCGCAUGAUCGGGAAAGGAAAGACGGCCUUUGUGCUGUCGCUUAUGGAUGGACCCGCGGCGUAUUAGUUAGUUGGUGAGGUAACGGCUCACCAAGACGAUGAUACGUAGCCGACCUGAGAGGGUGAUCGGCCACAUUGGGACUGAGACACGGCCCAAACUCCUACGGGAGGCAGCAGUAGGGAAUCUUCCGCAAUGGACGAAAGUCUGACGGAGCAACGCCGCGUGAGUGAAGAAAAGGUUUUCGGAUCGUAAAACUCUGUUGUCAGAGAAGAACAAGUUGGAGAGUAACUGCUCCAGCCUUGACGGUAUCUGACCAGAAAGCCACGGCUAACUACGUGCCAGCCGCUGC
rnacentral:rRNA from 1 species